rnacentral:rRNA from 1 species
UACGAAGGGUGCAAGCGUUACUCGGAAUUACUGGGCGUAAAGCGUGCGUAGGUGGUUCGUUAAGUCCGAUGUGAAAGCCCUGGGCUCAACCUGGGAACUGCAUUGGAUACUGGCGAUCUGGAGUGCGGUAGAGGGUGGCGGAAUUCCCGGUGUAGCAGUGAAAUGCGUAGAUAUUGGGAAGAACACCUGAGGCGAAGGCGGGUUGCUGGGCCGACACUGACGCUGAGGAGCGAAAGCGUGGGGAGCAAACAGG